rnacentral:rRNA from 1 species
UACGGAGGGGGCUAGCGUUGUUCGGAAAUACUGGGCGUAAAGCGCACGUAGGCGGUGGAGUAAGUCAGAGGUGAAAUCCCAGGGCUCAACCCUGGAACUGCCUUUGAAACUGCUACACUAGAAUCAUGGAGAGGUCAGUGGAAUUCCGAGUGUAGAGGUGAAAUUCGUAGAUAUUCGGAAGAACACCAGUGGCGAAGGCGACUGACUGGACAUGUAUUGACGCUGAGGUGCGAAAGCGUGGGGAGCAAACAGG